CCUACGGGAGGCUGCAGUGAGGAAUAUUGGUCAAUGGACGAGAGUCUGAACCAGCCAAGUAGCGUGAAGGAUGACUGCCCUAUGGGUUGUAAACUUCUUUUAUAUGGGAAUAAAACGAUACACGUGUGGGAUUUGGUAUGUCCCAUAUGAAUAAGGAUCGGCUAACUCCGUGCCAGCAGCCGCGGUAAUACGGAGGAUCCGAGCGUUAUCCGGAUUUAUUGGGUUUAAAGGGCGCGUAGGUGGAUUGUUAAGUCAGUUGUGAAAGUUUGCGGCUCAACCGUAAAAUUGCAGUUGAAACUUGCAGUCUUGAGUACAGUAGAGGUGGGCGGAAUUCGUGGUGUAGCGGUGAAAUGCUUAGAUAUCACGAAGAACUCCGAUUGCGAAGGCAGUUCACUGGACUGCAACUGACACUGAGGCUCGAAAGUGUGGGUAUCAAACAGGAUUAGAUACCCUGGUAGUC
rnacentral:rRNA from 1 species